rnacentral:rRNA from 1 species
CACGUAGGGUGCAAGCGUUGUCCGGAAUCAUUGGGCGUAAAGAGCUCGUAGGCGGCUUAGUAAGUCGGGUGUGAAAACCCCAGGCUCAACCUGGGGACGCCACCCGAUACUGCUAUAGCUAGAGUCCAGUAGGGGAGUGUGGAAUUCCUGGUGUAGCGGUGAAAUGCGCAGAUAUCAGGAGGAACACCGAUGGCGAAGGCAGCUCGCUGGGACGGUACUGACGCUGAGGCGCGAAAGCGUGGGGAGCAAACAGG